rnacentral:rRNA from 1 species
GACGAACGCUGGCGGCGUGCCUAAUACAUGCAAGUCGAACGCACUCUCGUUUAGAUUGAAGGAGUUUGCUCCUGAUUGAUAAACAUUUGAGUGAGUGGCGGACGGGUGAGUAACACGUGGGUAACCUGCCCUAAAGUGGGGGAUAACAUUUGGAAACAGAUGCUAAUACCGCAUAAAACCUAACACCGCAUGGUGUAGGGUUGAAAGAUGGUUUCGGCUAUCACUUUAGGAUGGACCCGCGGUGCAUUAGUUAGUUGGUGAGGUAAAGGCUCACCAAGACCGUGAUGCAUAGCCGACCUGAGAGGGUAAUCGGCCACACUGGGACUGAGACACGGCCCAGGCUCCUACGGGAGGCAGCAGUAGGGAAUCUUCCACAAUGGACGAAAGUCUGAUGGAGCAACGCCGCGUGAGUGAAGAAGGUUUUCGGAUCGUAAAACUCUGUUGUUGGAGAAGAAUGUAUCUGAUAGUAACUGAUCAGGUAGUGACGGUAUCCAACCAGAAAGCCACGGCUAACUACGUG